GCAAAACGAAUUUUCUCUAUCCCCAAGAGGUUAUUUUCAGUUAUCAUUCAGUGACUUCUUCAGUACACUAAGGAUGCAUAUGGGUGACCAAACAACUAGACUGUGGUGACUGAUCUUGGUGCCAUGCUUGGAUGUAUUAAAAACAGAUUCAGCUUGCCACAUUUUCAACAAGCCGCCAGAUUGAUGGAUUACCACAAAAUAAAUGUGUAGGGGAGACCCUCAUCAUUUGAAGCCUGCAUUAGUCAAAUCAAAGCCUCUCUUCUGUCCGAGGCACUCACUGGCUGCCGUCUCUGACUCUUCCUACAUCGUGGUGUAAAGUGACUCCCUCGUGCUGACUCAUCAGUUGAAAUGUCUAGA